AUCGCUUCUCGGCCUUUUGGCUAAGAUCAAGUGUAGUUUGUGGUAGUUUGCUCUGGCUGCUCUAGACAAUUAAUGCAUCCUUCCUGAUUUUUUGCCAUAUGUGUAAACUUCUUGCAAUUAUAAAUUAUUACUUAUAGUGUUUUCCCAAGACAACUCACUUUUAAAGUAGAAAUAAA
rnacentral:snRNA from 1 species